GACGAAGGUGGCGAGCGUUGUUCGGAAUCACUGGGCAUAAAGCGCACGUAGGCGGUGUCAUAAGUCGGAUGUGAAAUCCCUCGGCCUAACCGAGGAACUGCGUCCGAUACUGUGAUGCUUGAGGACCAGAGGGGUGCAUGGAAUUUCCGGUGGAGCGGUGAAAUGCGUUGAUAUCGGAAGGAACUCCGGCGGCGAAAGCGAUGCACUGGCUGGUUUCUGACGCUGAGGUGCGACAGCCAGGGGAGCAAACGGG
rnacentral:rRNA from 1 species